ensembl:lncRNA
GAGCUCAGCCCAGUUCUUUUUGUUAAGAAGGCUAAGGCCACUGGUUACCAAGCAGCUUGUUUUAUGUGUCUGCAGUUAGCCUUUCUGUUUCCUUCUUCUUAGGCUAAAACUGGGUUCUGGACAUCUGCACAACCGGCACAAGGACAUUACAUUCAAACUCAGAGGAUUCAUAUUUUAGGUCUGCAAUGAGAAAUCUUCCUGAAAUUCAGGGUAAGCACCUCCAUUAUUAUUUGGACAUCAGCAAAUAAAAAUGAUUCCAACCAAGUUGUUACAGCCAUUGUCCUCAGUUUCUUUUGAAAGACAAACACAAUUUGCUGCGUGUCAAGAUCUCUCCUUUGCAAGAAACAAAUAUUUUAGGCUUAGAAACACUGACAGGAAGUGUGAUGUGCAGAGCAUCGGGCCACCAGAUUUCUCAGUGAAACUGUACAGCAGUCUGUCUACUUCAGAAAUAAGGGAAAGAAAGAAAAAUAUAAAGAUAGUUGCACCUCAGCCCAAAGAAAUGAAGAGGAGAUAUCAGACGUUUCUACCAAAUUCUCUGUCCUCGUGUCCAAAGAGAAAAGAACCUCCAAAGUUCAUCACUUCACACAGGCCUCCUGAUGCUCUGGAGACUGAACUGAUGUUUGUCAAGAUUGGAAAGUAUCAUUCUGGGACGUACAAGAACCACAAACCUCAUGACUUCAGACCAAGACACAAACAAAGAAGAGAAGCGUACAGUGCUUUCCUCGACCGUGUGGAAGAGAAACUUGGGAGAACCUGGAAAAAUAAACCGUGACUCUCUGUCGUCCUUUAGCCCUGUAGCUCUGAGGUUUUGAGACUUCUACAUCAUCAGUGUGAUUUUACUUUUUACAAUACAUUUUUAAGCAAUUAACUACACACAAAAGCCAGAUGUAGCAAAUGUUAUGUUUUCCUAUUUACUUAUCAGAAGGUUUAAUAAACAUUUGAAUAAACAAACCAGUUUCAAAAAGUUUGAAUUUUCUUGCAAUGAUUUCAUGGUUUAGGCUUCACAGGUUUCAACACAUUUGCUUCUUUCUCUAAAUCCUCCCUCGGUCAUGCUGCAAUAGACUUCGGCUGCUGGGGGCUUGCCAUGAU